rnacentral:rRNA from 1 species
AAGCCUCGGGAAGCCGCUAAACAGGCUUUGAUCCGGGGAUUUCCGAAUGGGGGAACCCACCCCGAGUAAUGUCGGGGUAUCCAUGACUGAAUACAUAGGUCAUGGAGGCGAACGCAGGGAACUGAAACAUCUAAGUACCUGCAGGAAAAGAAAUCAACCGAGAUUCCGCUAGUAGCGGCGAGCGAACGCGGACCAGCCUAAACCAUGGUGAUUCGUCGCCAUGGGGUUGCGGGGCCCCAACGUGGGAUUGUGAAUGGAUAGCAGAACGAUCUGGAAAGGUCGGCCGAAGAGGGUGAUAGCCCCGUAAGCGAAAUCUUGAAGCACCCUAGGGAGUCCCCAAGUACCACGGGACACGUGAAAUCCUGUGGGAAUCUGGGAGGACCAUCUUCCAAGGCUAAAUACUACUCAGCGACCGAUAGUGAACCAGUACCGUGAGGGAAAGGUGAAAAGUACCCCUGUGAGGGGAGUGAAAUAGUACCUGAAACCGUUUGCCUACAAGCUGUGGGAGGACGGUGGUCGGCCUCAAAGGCUAGUCCCUUUGGCCGGUCUGUCUGACCGCGUGCCUUUUGCAUAAUGAGUCAGUGAGUUACUUUACGUGGCAAGGUUAAGCCGUUAGGUGUAGCCGUAGCGAAAGCGAGUCUGAAUAGGGCGACGAGUUGCGUGGAGUAGACCCGAAGCCAGGUGAUCUAUCCAUGGCCAGGGUGAAGUCUCGGUAACACGAGAUGGAGGCCCGAACCCACUAAGGUUGAAAACUUAGGGGAUGAGCUGUGGAUCGGAGUGAAAGGCUAAUCAAAACUGGAGAUAGCUGGUUCUCCCCGAAAUGCAUUUAGGUGCAGCCUUGCAGGAUGAAUAACGGAGGUAGAGCACUGGAUGGGCUAGGGGUCCCACCAGAUUACCAAACCCAACCAAACUCCGAAUGCCGUUAUAUCUACUGCGGGAGUCAGACUGCGGGAGAUAAGUUCCGUGGUCGAAAGGGAAACAGCCCAGACCGCCAGCUAAGGUCCCUAAAUAUGUGCUAAGUGGGAAAGGAUGUGGAAGCGCUCAGACAACCAGGAGGUUGGCUUAGAAGCAGCCAUCCUUUAAAGAAAGCGUAACAGCUCACUGGUCAAGUGAGUCUGCGCCGAAAAUUCAACGGGGCUCAAGCACAUUACCGAAGCUGCGGGUUUCGUUUGUUCUUCGGAGCGAGCGGAGCGGUAGGGGAGCGUUGUAGUAACCGCUGAAGGCACACCGUAAGGAGUGCUGGAGGACCUACAAGAGCCUAUGCUGACAUGAGUAGCGAUAAUGCGGGUGAAAAACCCGCACGCCGUAAGCCUAAGGUUUCCUGAGUAAAGCUAAUCUUCUCAGGGUUAGUCGGUCCCUAAGCCGAGGCCGAAAGGCGUAGGUGAUGGAAAACAGGUUAAUAUUCCUGUACCACCAAACAGGCAUUUGAGUGAUGGGGGGACGUAGAAGGGUAGGCCAUCCGGGUGAUGGACGUCCCGGUUCAAGCCGGUAGGUGGAGGCUCUAGGCAAAUCCGGAGCCUCUUUAACGCCGAGAAGCGAUGAGGAGGGAUUUAUCCCAUAAACUGGCUAAGCCCACGCUACCAAGAAAAGCCUCUAGCGAGUCUGCUUGGUGACCGUACCGCAAACCGACACAGGUAGGCAGGGAGAGUAUCCCAAGGCGCUUGAGAGAACCCUGGUUAAGGAACUCGGCAAAAUGACACCGUAACUUCGGGAGAAGGUGUGCCCCCAUUAGGUGAAAUAACUUGCUUGUGGAGCCGAAGGGGGUUGCAGAGAAAAGGGGGUAGCGACUGUUUACUAAAAACACAGGACUCUGCUAAGUCGUAAGACGAUGUAUAGGGUCUGACGCCUGCCCGGUGCUGGAAGGUUAAGGGGAUGCGUUAUCCCGACUUGUCGGGAGAAGCGUUGAACCGAAGCCCCAGUAAACGGCGGCCGUAACUAUAACGGUCCUAAGGUAGCGAAAUUCCCGCUGUCUCAACCAGGGACUCAGCGAAAUUGAAUUCUCGGUGAAGAUGCCGGGUACCCGCGGCAAGACGGAAAGACCCCGUGCACCUUUACUACAGCUUGGCAUUGGAUUUUGGGCUAGUAUGUGUAGGAUAGGUGGGAGACGUUGAAAUGGGGACGCUAGUUUCCAUGGAGUCAACCUUGAAAUACCACCCUUGCUAUUCUAGGAGUCUAACCUUGACCCGUUAUCCGGGUUAGGGACAGUGCCUGGUGGGUAGUUUGACUGGGGCGGUCGCCUCCUAAAGAGUAACGGAGGCGCGCGAAGG